rnacentral:ncRNA from 24 species
UGUGAAUCAGAUCGCUCAGGUGCCUCAUUACGAUGGGGAGAAUAGGGAACCGUGUGAAAAUCACGGACUGUCGCGCAACUGUAAUCACCAUAAAAGUUCGGCCAAUCAUGUCCACUGUCAGCAUAAGACGGGAAGGACGGCUAAAACGGUGAAAGUCAGGAUACCUGCCUCAGCGAAUUGACAAUGC